AUUUGGGAUCAUCCCAUGAGAGUGGGAUCACCACAUGGGAUCACCCCGUGGGAACCUGUAUUCUUUUGAGUGUCCCAAGUACAGCCAGCUUGGUAUGGGAUUUGGGAUCCAUGGAAUGGGAUCACCCCAUGGGAACGGGAUUUGGGAUCACCCCAUGGGAACCUGUAUUCCUUCAAGUGCCCUGAGUACGGCCAGCUGGGUACGGGAUUUGGGAUCACCCCAUGGGAAUGGGAUUUGGGAUCUAUGGAAUGGGAUUUGGGAUCUAUGGAAUGGGAUCAUCCCAUGGGAACGGGAUUUGGGAUCGAUGGAAUGGGAUCACCCCAUGGGAACCUGUAUUCCUUCGGGUGCCCCGAGUACGGCCAGCUGGGUACGGCAUUUAUGGGAUCUAUGGAAUGGGAUCAUCCCAUGGGAACGGGAUUUGGGAUCUAUGGAAUGGGAUCAUCCCAUGGGAAUGGGAUUUGGGAUCACCCCAUGGGAACCUGUAUUCCUUCGGGUGCCCUGAGUACGGCCAGCUGGGUACGGGAGUUAUGGGAUCAUCCCAUGGGAAUGGGAACGGGAUUUGGGAUCACCCCAUGGGAAUGGGAUCACCCCAUGGGAACCUGUAUUUCUUUGGGUGCCCCGAGUACGGCCAGCUGGGUACGGCAUUUAUGGGAUCGAUCCAUGGGAAUGGGAUUUGGGAUCACCCCAUGGGAACCUGUACUCCUUCGGGUGCCCCGAGUACGGCCAGCUGGGGCACAAUUCCGACGGGAAGUUCAUCGCGCGGGCGCAGCGCAUCGAGUACGACUGCGAGCUGCUGCCGCGGCGCGUGGCGCUCUUCGUGGAGCGCACCAAGGACGGGCAGGUGCUGCCCGUGCCCAACGUCGUGGUCAGGGACGUGGCCUGCGGGGCCAACCACACGGUACGGGAGGGUGGGAUUGGGAAUGUGGGAAUGGGAAUGUGGGAAUGGGAAUAUGGGAUUGGGAAUGUGGGAAUGGGAAUGUGGGAAUGGGUCAGAGACAUGGCCUGCAGGGCCAACUACACGGUACAGGAGUGUGGGAAUGUGGGAUUGGGAUAAUGGGAUUGGGAAUGUGGGAUAAUGGGACUGGGAUAACGGGAAUGGGUCAGGGACAUGGCCUGCAGGGCCAACCACACAGUACUGGAGUGUGGGAAUGUGGGAUUGGGAUAAUGGGAUUGGGUCAGGAAUGUGGCCUGCGGGGCCAACCACACAGUACAGGAAUGUGGGAAUAUGGGAUUGGGAUAAUGGCAAUGUGGGAAUGGGUCAGGCAUGUGGGACCAACCACAGGGUACAGGAAUAGGGGAAUGGGAUAAUGGGAUCAGGAUAAUGGGAAUGGGUCAGGGACGUGGCCUGUGGGGCCAGCCACACGGUACGGGAGCGUGGGAUUGGGAAUAUGGGACUGGGAAUGUGGGAUUGGGAUAAUGGGAUUGGGAAUGGGUCAGAGACAUGGCCUGCAGGGCCAACUACACGGUACAGGAGUGUGGGAAUGUGGGAUCGGGAUAAUGGGAUUGGGAAUGUGGGAUUGGGAUAAUGGGAUUGGGUCAGGAAUGUUGCCUGCGGGGCCAACCACACGGUACGGGAGUGUGGGAAUGGGAAUGUGGGAAUGGGAUAAUGGGAUCGGGAUAAUGGGAAUGGGUCAGGGACAUGGCCUGCAGGGCCAACCACACGGUACGGGAGGGUGGGAAUGUGGGAUUGGGAUAAUGGGAUCAGGAUAAUGGGAUUGGGAAUGUGGGAAUGGGAAUAUGGGAUUGGGAAUGUGGGAAUGGGUCAGGGACAUGGCCUGCUCACCAGCCACACAGUACGGGAGUGUGGGAAUGUGGGAUCGGGAUAAUGGGAUUGGGAUAACGGGAAUGGGUCAGGGACGUGGCCUGCGGGGCCAACUACACGGUACGGGAAUGUGGGAUUGGGAUAAUGGGAUUGGGAAUGUGGGAUUGGGUCAGGGAAGUGGCCUUUGGGGCCAACCACACGGUAUGGGAAUAGGGAAUAUGAGAUUGGGAUAAUGGG
ensembl:lncRNA